rnacentral:misc_RNA from 1 species
UACUGGAGCGUCUGCAUCAUGUUACAUAUAAUUAGAAAAUACAAACAGCAUAAUAAGUUUCACCCAGUCAUCUUCAGCUUAACAAGAGAACAAAGCUCGCAUUGUCGUCUCAGCAUUACAAACCCAGAGAAUGGUGGCAGUACAGUAACAGUAACAGUACAGGAAGAAUGCUCAUUCUUAACUGGGAAAUGAAACAUUAGUCACCAUUUGAGGGAGGAUGGUCCAUUACAUAAAAAGAUUUCAGAUCCAAUCAAUUUAUCCGCAGACAGCCAAGCCCAAAUGAUCAAAUGGGCAGAUCAUUGUUGUUAUCAUGAAGGAUAAAACUACAGGGCUUGAACAUCUAAAAGCCAAAUUUUUCAGUUACAAUAUCAGUUAAGGUUAUUGUACAUUAAUUGGAUAAGAUAAGGAACUCCCAACGAAUUCUCAUUCACCCAUUGUAGGUUUUCUAUGAAUGUAGACAUGCUAAAAAAUGACUACCUAAUCUACAUAACUCUCAGUAUCAAGUCACUCACUGCUGCAAAUCCUGAAUGAAUUUCAUCAGGCUGUUUCUUAACUUCACCAUGGAAGAACUUUGACCAGAAUUUCCUCCAUAGGCUUAUCACAAAAUUUAUAUAAUAUUGUUUUUUUACUAUCGUACAUUAAGCUUUCCCUGAGAAAAAACAACAAACCUUGUUCUCUAGCAGGGAGGGAAACUUAAAAAUUGCCUCUAUCUUCAUCUUUCAUUAUUGUGUUU